AAGAAUCAUUGAUCUUGAACAUUAAAAUCCCAAUUCAUUAUUAUUGUCAUUGAUUUGAAUGAAUCCUUAGAAAUAACCCCCUACGCAUGAGUCUUAAGGCCUAGCUUUUACAUACCGCCUCCAAUUCUGUCUAUACUUCUUGAUGAAGAAAUCGGCGCCACCAAUGCGAUCCACAUAGAUAUCAUCUUUUUUCCAAUAUCCUCUCCCUUCUAUCUUUUGUAGCAUGA
rnacentral:lncRNA from 1 species